rnacentral:lncRNA from 1 species
UCUUAUCUCUUAUGAAAAGUAGACACUCAAACCCUAAAGAUUUAAAGUUGCAGCCGUCACCCCCUUCUCUCUCAUAAAAACUCCUUUUUCCCCAAAUUUAACCCCAUCAAAACCCUGAUCUCUACAAUCUAAGAAACAAAAAAUCAAACUUCUACUCUUUUUCCUGGCGUGUAUUUCUGAACGAUCACUGUGCCUCUUCCUCUACUCCUAUUUCUCUAACAACCAAACAUAACAACGUUCGACACAUUACAAGAAACCCAGAUCGGUUCCAUGGAGUCCGAAGUUUCGAAUCAAGAGAACAGAACGAUGAUCCCAGAUGUAGACUGGAGAUGAGGGUUCAGAGAGGUUCGUCGCUGUUCGUGGUGGUGGUUAAAUCAGGGGAUGAACUGUGUGAAGUGAUGGACGGCGGCUGCUGACUGGUGAAUGAAGGCGGUGACCGGUGGUGUACGCUGACCGGUGAUUGGUGAACGGAAGUGUGAUGACUGAAGUGACUUGUUGCGACGGAGGUGGUGGAUGUGAGUCUAUUUAGUGUUUUAUCCGGGUUGCGGUCGGGUGUUUACUACAGUUCAACGGAGUGGGAAUGAAGGUGAGUUAGGAUGGAUGAACAUGUGAGAUUGCCUUACAUGAAGAUGUUAAGUAAGAAACUGAAGAUGAGAAUGAUGUAUGUUUUUGUGUGGUGUGACGCAAAACGAACAAUGAAAGCCUAAAACCUUCUGUUUCUACUCCUUUUCUUUAAAUUCGCCGGUCAGAACAAAGUCGCCAGAAUAACGACUCCGGGAAAAUGUGACUUACCGGCGUAUUUACCCAAUACGCCGGAGAACUUGAACUCGCGUUCAAGAUUUAAAGUCGCCGAAAAUUAAUUUCGCCGGAAGAUGUUAAGUAAGAAACUGAAGAUGAGAAUGAUGUAUGUUUUUGUGUGGUGUGACGCAAAACGAACAAUGAAAGCCUAAAACCUUCUGUUUCUACUCCUUUUCUUUAAAUUCGCCGGUCAGAACAAAGUCGCCAGAAUAACGACUCCGGGAAAAUGUGACUUACCGGCGUAUUUACCCAAUACGCCGGAGAACUUGAACUCGCGUUCAAGAUUUAAAGUCGCCGAAAAUUAAUUUCGCCGGAAAAGUUCGCCGGAAAAAUUAAUUACGCCGGAAAGUUGCGGGAAAACACAAUUUCGCCGGAACUUUCAAUAAAAUCGCUAUAUUCAAAGAUAAAAUCGCUGUAUUCAUAAAAAAAUCGCCCGGAAACUUCAAAAACUCAUCUAAAACCUACUGAUUUAAGCUGAAACCACUUUAAAUGAUACGAAAUCACUAUGAAUCUUUCAAAUAAUACUUGUCUCAACUCACAAUCAGCAAACACAUACUUUAAACAUUUUAAAAACAAGUUUUUUUGAAGAAAAAUUUGAAUA